UGGCAAACCACUCCAGUAUCUCUGCCAUGAAAACUCCACAUGGGGUCAUGAAGAGUCAGACACGACUGAAACAACCCAAGGACAACGACAAUAAAGACGCCUCCCAACUGCUAGCUGCCCUUCAGAAGGAGCCUGGGAACGGAGGAGACCGGAAGUUACACAACAAGCAUUUAUCAGACAUCCCGUGGGUGCCAGGACCUGUGCUAGGAAGCAAGUUUACAAAGACAACCACAAGGUUUCUACCCAAAAGCAGCUCGUAUUCCAUCCAGAGAAACAACGUAUAAAACCAUAAGGAGAUACAUAAUAUUGCCAUCAAGCCAAGUCCAGGCUGUGGAAGGCUUCUCAGGCCAGUCCAGAUAGCCGCACUCCAGACUACAGAAUGCUCACCGCGAGGCUUGCUGUGGAAGUACACGGCCAGUAGUGCAGCGGUCGGCGUUCUGGGCAGAGAAAGAUCUCUGCAAAACGUCCAACAAUUGGGGCAAAGGAGCUUGAAAUGGAGCUCAAAACCACAUCCCGCUCCGCCCCUUCUGUCAGAGCCUCAGGGCUACAAACUACAGAAAUCUACACCACAGCACCAGCGUGGCAGCUCUCUGAACUCUGAACAGGAGUGGGGCAGACACGGUGUUGGUGGUCCCCCCACCCCCACCCUCUGCAGGCACUCCACUAAGCCUGAGGGAAAGUGUUCAGCAACUAACUGGGGCCAGUUCGGAUCACCCAAAAGUCACUUGGGUGCAAGACCUAGGCUAGUUUACAUGAAUUGCCCAGUGUGAGAGAAGGCUGAGAUGCUUUGAGAUUCAUCCCCCGAGAAAAUCACCAUCAGAGCGGA